UAAAAUGUUCUGCCUGCAGGGCGAGGUAAAGCUCAGCACUAAGUAGUCGGCAAAGAGAAAGCUGGCUCCCAGCUAGCUGCUGGGUCAACUUCCCUGUGAAAGGGAGGGGAGACGUUGCGGACACCUGGGGGACAUCCUGGUGCUAAGGGCAGAGCAUGUGGGACAUGGUUCAUAAAAUCCCAGAUUGCGAAACCGAACAGGGGAGGCAGGAAGGGAAUUUUGGUGACCAGGUUUUCGUCGGCUCACCUGGCUGCUUCCUUGGAGCUAUGUGGUUUCCCUGGCAAUGAGUCGUUACCAGUCAACAUUACACAGCAGAGUUGCUAACCGCAGCAGUCACCCAGGACCGGCUCCUUUGGCUUCGAACAUUAACCCCUGGCCAACCACUCAGUUUCUUUCCAUCUUGGUAAGGAAUAGCCAUGGGUCCCGGGGUUGGGACUAGACUCUAGUCUAUCCUCCUGCCCCUCAGGGGAAACCACACCUAGACCAAGCCAGACAAAUGAGGAGCUCAGGAACUCACGAGGAUGGAGAAUGUGUUUGCUUCUGGAGAGCUCACCGGUUUGCAGCCACCUAGAAAAAAUACUUAACGCUACAAGCACGGGAAUCUGAUGGAGAAGGACUUCAAGCAAAACUGGAUCUCUAAAGGGGGAAGCAAAUGAAUUGCAGAGUGCACAGAGCUCCAGACUUGGAGUCAGAAGAGUUGAACUUGGAUCCUGCCUCAGAUAAAUUUCUGACCCAACCCAGAACAAGUUACAACCUGUCUCAGUUCACCCAUCUCACAAGUUUAUUAAUUGCCUUCUUUAAAGGACUUUGGAAACCAGUAUCUAUGACAAGCCAAGUUGGAGCCAGAGACACCAAAUAAGGGGAGGAAAAGGUGACAGGACAAAGAACAAUGGACAAAGGACUACUUCGUGGGACAGAGCCUUGGUGUACAGACUGGUUGGGGGAAGGACUGUGUUUGGGGAAGAGGAUGAAAACAAGUUUGGUAAUGUUAACUGCCAGCUCUCCAAAAACAGACCCAGAGGAAUGAUUCAUGCCAAAACAAAUCUUUGCAAAUGAAAGCCUGUAUUGACAAUAACUAAAAAUAGAUAUGUAAACCUAUUCACCCCAAAUUAGCUCACAGGGCUGCCACCUUCUCUCUCAGUCCUCUUUUAUCAUGUUGGAAACUGUACUGGGGCUAGGGGUGAUUUAGCUAUGAUAUGCUGUAAUGCUGUCCACAAGAGUGGCUUUUGUAAUUUUUAAAGGGAAAAGAGCAGCUAUAAAAUUAUGAGACAGCUAAAAUAAAUCUCUAAAAGAUAUCUUAGGGGCUUCUAAACAAGCCACUCCAAGCAGUGACAUUUUAAAGAAUCAAAUUUCUGUUAGUUGCUCUGUCAGCAUAGGUAUGUCCCAUGGAGAUACCAGCCCUUGUUUUAGUUAUGAGGUUGACCUCUUUGUUAGAGAUCUACCGCUCUGCAGGAAACUGGACACAAAAUAAUGCAAAACCCAGGAAACAAAAAGUCAAUCAGGAGAAAACAUAGAUAGUAUAUACUUCCAGGAGCGCCAUCAGGACGAUCUUGAAAGGUUGCCCAUAGAGUGAAACAUUGUAUGAUAAAGGCUUUACUCCAGAUUCACUUAAGAAGAGAGAUGUUGUUGCAUGGCAGGCCACACUUAUUGCACCAGGGCAUGACGUGGGACUCCUGAAAGUGGGUGGCUAUCUGCUGAGGGUUUCCUUUGGAUUAGCAGGAGGUAGGGAACCAGUGGGGGGGGGGAAAUCUGCAGCAUGGAGUUCUCUCUGGAGGUGUCACCAUGGAAAAAGCAGGGGGUGCAACUGGGAACCCACCGCUCCCUGGUAUUAAGAAGCACACAGUUCAACCCAAGAUAGCUGAAGGGAUUUCAGGAUCCCUGCCUGAUGGGGCUUCUGAAGCUCAUUACGUGGGACAAGGCUGCAGCUCCACAGAUGUAUCUUUCACUUGAUUUAAGAUUUAAGUCGUUUAGAGGGCAGCUGGGUGGCUCAGUGGAUUGAGAGCUAGCCCUAGAGACAGGAGGUCCUAGGUUCAAAUGUGGCCUCAGACACUUCCCAGCUGUGUGACCCUGGGCAAGUCACUUGACCCUCAUUGCCUAGCCCUUACCACUCUUCUGCCUUGGAGCCAAUACACAGUAUUGACUCCAAGACAAAGAUUUAAGUCGUUUUUCUGAAGGAUCCCUUGACUACACCAUGAAACUAAAAACUUAAUCCAGAAAAUGAAAUAACCUUAAUGACAAUGACUUCAAAGGGAUAAACUAGGAAACCAUAAAAUAAAAGGAAGUACACAUAUCCUACAAUAUAUAACAUAGGCAAGUAGAAACACAAAUAACUAUAAACGACUAUAUAUUUGCAAUGGGACCAGAAAAAGGGUGAGAGCUGUUGCUAGGGAGGCCAGAUCACCUUCAGGUAACAAACACCUAUUAGGUGCAAUCACUGGCCAGUUAGGGAAGAUACUAAAAGGAAUGUUCUGAUCCUUCUGCUUAGGGAGUUUCAGUUCUUACUUAGGCCACAUGCAAAUUUGGGGGGAGUGGAAUGAAGAGAAAGGGAUUUUGGAGAGAAAUGUUUUGAGGGUUUUUCUAUCUACCUGAUUCUCCUAUGAUAAAAGUUAAUUUAAUGUUAAUCUAAUCUGGGGCCACAAUAAUUUGUUGUUGUUUUUUACUGGGAGGAAAAAAGUUAUUUCUCUUGUUAAAGAAUGUACCCCUAACAGAUUCCUGUGAUGCUUUUUGGUGGGGUGGAGAUAUGCAAACUGAAUGCCAGCUCUGGCAGGUCCUAUAUAUAAGCUGGAAAGACUUCCAGUCUGAUUCAGUGAGAUGGUGAUGAAGAUCUUAACCACAGCUAUUCUCAAAGACCAUCUGCUACUAUGUCAUAUAGAAAAGCUGAAUUCUGUCUUGAUGGAGAGAAUACCCACACUCACACAUUAUAGAUCCUUGAAGUACUAUAGUCUAAAUUAAGCACAAAAAGUCUGUUGGGCUAUGUGCCUAGAGGCUCUCAACUCAAACACUGUUUAUUGUAUUCAGGCCUGGAAAUAACUGACAUUUUAGGAGAGUGUUUUUAGAACCUUAUUUGAGCCUUUCAUAAUUUUGUGAAUUAAAUAUUUCAGGUAUAUUUUCCCCCAUUUUUACAGAUGAAUUAAAUGAAAUAUGGAAAGAUUAUGACUUGCCCAUGGUCACAACUAGUUAUGGGUCAAAGAAAAUAUCUGAACACAGGUCUUCCUGUUCAGUUCAACAUCCCAGCCAAUGUUGGCUGGCUUACCUCUUAACAUAUUAGAAAGUAAAUGCUAAAUACGCUAGCCAUUCCUAUUUAAAACAUUAAAAUGCAUAGGAACAAAUGGAGCCUUUCUUAAAAUAAAUAGUAUCUAUCUACAACCAAAAGCAAGCAUUAUCUGUAAUGGGGAUAAACUAGAACCAUUUCCAAUAACAUCAGGGUAAAGCAAGAAGGUCCAUUAUCAUCAUUAUUCUAGAAUGUACUAGAAAUGCUAGUUAUAACAAAAAGAAAAAUAAA